UGGGGAAUAUUGGACAAUGGGCGCAAGCCUGAUCCAGCCAUGCCGCGUGAGUGAUGAAGGCCCUAGGGUUGUAAAGCUCUUUCACCGGUGAAGAUAAUGACGGUAACCGGAGAAGAAGCCCCGGCUAACUUCGUGCCAGCAGCCGCGGUACUACGAAGGGGGCUAACGUUGUUCGGAAUUACUGGGCGUAAAGCGCACGUAGGCGGAUCGAUCAGUUAGGGGUGAAAUCCCGGGGCUCAACCCCGGAACUGCCUCUAAUACUGUCGAUCUGGAGUUCGAGAGAGGUGAGUGGAAUUCCGAGUGUAGAGGUGAAAUUCGUAGAUAUUCGGAGGAACACCAGUGGCGAAGGCGGCUCACUGGCUCGAUACUGACGCUGAGGUGCGAAAGCGUGGGGAGCAAACA
rnacentral:rRNA from 1 species